CCUACGGGAGGCAGCAGUAGGGAAUAUUGGACAAUGGGCGCAAGCCUGAUCCAGCCAUCCCGCGUGAAGGAUUAAGGCCCUCUGGGUUGUAAACUUCUUUUCUCUGGGAAUAAAAACCGGUAUUCAUACUGGCUUGAAGGUACCAGAGGAAUAAGCACCGGCUAACUCCGUGCCAGCAGCCGCGGUAAUACGGAGGGUGCAAGCGUUAUCCGGAUUCACUGGGUUUAAAGGGUGCGUAGGUGGCUUUGUAAGUCAGUGGUGAAAUGCCGCAGCUCAACUGCGGAACUGCCAUUGAUACUGCUUAGCUUGAAUCACGUCGAGGUGGAUGGAAUAAUACAUGUAGCGGUGAAAUGCUUAGAUAUGUAUUAGAACACCGAUUGCGAAGGCAGUUCACUAGGCGUGUAUUGACACUGAGGCACGAAAGCGUGGGGAUCAAACAGGAUUAGAUACCCUGGUAGUCCACGCCCUAAACGAUGUAAACUCGACAUUAGUCGAUAUACUGUUAGUGUCAGACGAAGACGUUAAGUUACCGUACCGUGGAGUACGUAACCGCGAGUUAGAAGUACGAAGAAGUUAGAGGCGUUGAGAGNGCCGACGGACGACGACGAGGGAGGAGG
rnacentral:rRNA from 1 species